GGCACUUUGGCGGAGUGGUUAACGCGCGGGCCUGCUAAGCCCGUCUCCUCGGAGGCCAGGGUUCGAAUCCCUGAGGUGUCG
rfam:Fungal sp. No.14919 DNA, contig: Contig0016.